AUCUGCACGGAACACGGACGAGUCUCCAUGGAGUCUGCGCUGGGCUGGGUUUUCCUUGUUGCUGUUUUCAAAGGUGUCCAGUGUGAGGUGCAGCUGGUGGAGUCUGGGGUAGGCCUGAGUCAGCCUGGGGGGUCGCUGAGACUCUCCUCUGCAGCCUCUGGAUUCACCUUCAGCAGUCAUGGCAUGAACUGGGCCCGCCAGGCUCCAGGGAAGGGCCUGCAGUGUGUCGCAGCUAUCAGUAGUGACGGUAGUUACAUAUACUACGCAGACUCCAUGAAGGGCCGAUUCACCAUCUCCAGAGACAACGCCAAGAACACGCUAUAUCUGCAAAUGAGCAGUCUGAAAGUCGAGGACACGGCCCUGUAUUACUGUGCGAGAGACACA